GAACUUGUUUAUUACCCGUGGGAUGGGAGUGCUUGCAUGCACCUGUGGUUCAUGCAAGCCCUUAUCCUGCAUCGAGGGGCUCUCCUCUUUGGGAGUGCUUCUCGGCAAAUAACAAACCCCGGCGCGGUCUGCGCCAAGGAACAAAAAAAUGGAUUGUGCCUAUUUGUGCUCGGUUUACCGAAGCAGGGAUGUGGCACUCGGUAUUAUAUAUUAAACGACUCUCGGCAACGGAUAUCUCGGCUCUCGCAUCGAUGAAGAACGUAGCGAAAUGCGAUACUUGGUGUGAAUUGCAGAAUCCCGUGAACCAUCGAGUCUUUGAACGCAAGUUGCGCCCAAAGCCUUCGGGCCGAGGGCACGUCUGCCUGGGCGUCACGCAUCGCGUCUCCCCCACCCCACAAUUGUGGGAAGGGGAGGAAGAUGGCCUCCUGUGCCUAACCAGGCAUGGAUGGCCUAAAUGAGGAGCCCAUGGCCUUGAGCUGCAUCGGCGUUUGGUGGUACACAAGGCUAUGCCUAGGUUGCAUCGCGUCGCGCAGCAUUUGGCUAUUGGACUCGUAGGACCCUAACAUGUGCCUUGAGUGACAAAC
rnacentral:misc_RNA from 1 species